rnacentral:rRNA from 1 species
CCUACGGGAGGCUGCAGUGGGGAAUAUUGGACAAUGGGGGCAACCCUGAUCCAGCCAUGCCGCGUGUGUGAAGAAGGCCCUCGGGUUGUAAAGCACUUUCAGUGAGGAAGGACGCCUGGUGGUUAAUACCCAUCAGGAAAGACAUCACUCACAGAAGAAGCACCGGCUAACUCCGUGCCAGCAGCCGCGGUAAUACGGAGGGUGCGAGCGUUAAUCGGAAUUACUGGGCGUAAAGCGCGCGUAGGUGGCUUGAUAAGCCGGUUGUGAAAGCCCCGGGCUCAACCUGGGAACGGCAUCCGGAACUGUCAAGCUAGAGUGCAGGAGAGGAAGGUAGAAUUCCCGGUGUAGCGGUGAAAUGCGUAGAGAUCGGGAGGAAUACCAGUGGCGAAGGCGGCCUUCUGGACUGACACUGACACUGAGGUGCGAAAGCGUGGGUAGCAAACAGGAUUAGAUACCCGUGUAGUC